UCUCUCAAAUUCUCAAAACAUUGACAACCGAUCUCUCUAUUCCAUCCGCCGCAGUAAUCAUCUUCUGCUUCUCUGGUAUCUUAUUAUCGAUAGGUUCUUGUUAGUUUAGUUUGAUUGAUAUCUGUUUUGUUUUUAGUUUAGUUUUCGAUUGAGGUUUUGGAAAGCAUCUGUGUUUAUGAACCUACUCCUCUAGCUUAGUGAGGUAAAAAUCACAAUAAAAGUAUGGUAAGAGGAGUUAAGAACAGAUGCUGAUAUUGAUUAGGUUAUCUUACCAACCCAUUGCUAUAUUCUGCAGCUUUGGCGUCAAAUGAAUCGACCUAUAUUUUUGCAAUCUUUUAAUUAUUUAUUAGGGUUUAAUUGUGAUUGAUGGCAAAUGAAGAAUUGAUUAUUUUAUGCUUAACCACUGAUGAACAGUGUUGACAAAACAUCUCCGCUUAUUAUCUGAUGCCAUCAUUAUUAGUCUUUUAAUUAUAAUUGUUUUCAAAAUUAAUUUUCGGUUUGGGUUUUUGAAAAAAGAUCGAUGAUGAGAUAUUAGCAGACGGGCGGUCUGAAUUGAUGCCGUGUAGAUUGUCUGCCAUCGCUACUAUAUGUAGUUUCUCUGAGUUCCAUCAUAAUCUUUACUUUGAUAUUAAUUCUGUACAUCUAUUGUUGUAGUGAUGGUUUUUGGUUGCGAACCUGCGAUGAUGAAGUUGCUCUAAUAUAUGUCUGGACUUAUGAGAUUUUUUAAAUCUUUGAAAUGAUUGUGCAACCUUUCUGAGCUUACUCUAUCCAUUAUCAUAUGUUUUUCUUUGAAAAUUUCUGGAUAUCUGAAAUACUAUACUUGGAUCUGGUACGUGGAAAUUGUGAGCUAGUGUCGUUUCCAACAGAGUUUUAUAGAGUAAUGUAAUAUAUUUCAGAAUGAUGCUUAAGCUUGUCUGGUGAAUCUGAUGGGAAGAAAUAAGAAUCGUCUAUGCUUACUACGAACAAUUACAAGGCCCAAUCUCUAUUUUUAAUCAUGCUGAUUAAUAAGUUCCUGUUAAAAUCAUUCGUCUUGGAAAUUUCAAGUGGAAUUGGUGUUCGACCUUGCUCGACUGUGGUAUUUCAACUAAGAUCCCGGUGAAGGCUUAAGACAAAACGGUCUCGGAUUCUUUUAAUGUUUCCAUUUUUGUUGUGCUUGUAUCGAAUGUAAUGAUUUCGUUACUUUGCAUCAAAUAAAAUUUUAAUUUAUAAUUUCUUUA